rnacentral:rRNA from 1 species
UACGUAGGGGGCAAGCGUUGUCCGGAUUUAUUGGGCGUAAAGAGCGUGUAGGCGGUUUUACAGGUCCGCUGUGAAAACUCGAGGCUCAACCUCGAGCUGUCGGUGGAAACCGUAAGGCUAGAGUCCGGAAGAGGAGAGUGGAAUUCCUGGUGUAGCGGUGAAAUGCGCAGAUAUCAGGAAGAACACCCGUGGCGAAAGCGGCUCUCUGGGACGGUACUGACGCUGAGACGCGAAAGCGUGGGGAGCGAACAGG